rnacentral:rRNA from 1 species
UCAACUAGGUGUUGGGGAAGGUGACUUCCUUAGUACCGCAGCUAACGCGUGAAGUUGACCGCCUGGGGAGUACGGCCGCAAGGUUAAAACUCAAAGGAAUUGACGGGGACCCGCACAAGCGGUGGAUGAUGUGGAUUAAUUCGAUGCAACGCGAAAAACCUUACCUACCCUUGACAUGCUUGGAACCCUGCUGAGAGGUGGGGGUGCCCGAAAGGGAGCCGGGACACAGGUGCUGCAUGGCUGUCGUCAG